UACGAGGGGGGCGAGCGUUGUUCGGAAUUAUUGGGCGUAAAGGGUGCGUAGGCGGUUUGGUAAGUCUUGUGUGAAAUCUACAGGCUCAACUUGUAGUCUGCACGAGAAACUGCCGGGCUUGGGUGUGGGAGAGGUGAGUGGAAUUCCUGGUGUAGCGGUGAAAUGCGUAGAUAUCAGGAGGAACGCCGGCGGCGAAAGCGGCGCACUGGACCUUUUCUGACGCUGAGGCGCGAAAGCUAGGGGAGCAAACGGG
rnacentral:rRNA from 1 species